AGUUCCCUGGAAAGGGGCGCCA
rnacentral:snRNA from 1 species